CCUACGGGUGGCUGCAGUGAGGAAUAUUGGUCAAUGGACGCAAGUCUGAACCAGCCAUGCCGCGUGCAGGAAGACGGCUCUAUGGGUUGUAAACUGCUUUUGUACGAGGAUAAACGCAGAUACGCGUAUCUUUCUGAACGUAUCGUACGAAUAAGGAUCGGCUAACUCCGUGCCAGCAGCCGCGGUAAUACGGAGGAUUCAAGCGUUAUCCGGCUUUAUUGGGUUUAAAGGGUGCGUAGGCGGGCGGAUAAGUUAGAGGUGAAAGCCCGAGGCUCAACUUCGGAAUUGCCUUUGAUACUGUCCGGCUAGAGAGUAGUUGCGGUAGGCGGAAUGUAUGGUGUAGCGGUGAAAUGCUUAGAGAUCAUACAGAACACCGAUUGCGAAGGCAGCUUACCAAGCUACUUCUGACGUUGAGGCACGAAAGCGUGGGGAGCAAACAGGAUUAGAUACCCGGGUAGUC
rnacentral:rRNA from 1 species